CAGUUACUACCUCCGUUACAUAAUUCUUGUCUCAAAUUUGUCCACAAGUGAAUGUAUCUAUUCCUAAAAGGCGUUUAGAUACAUGUAAUAAUUCGACAAGAAUUAUGUAACGGAGGGAGUACCAA
rfam:Brachypodium distachyon strain Bd21 chromosome 1, whole genome shotgun sequence.